ensembl:lncRNA novel transcript
GUGCAGAGCUGUCGCGGAGCCGGAGCAGCAGCGGUGAAGCCCCUCGGCUCGGCCGAGACCGCCGUGCCCAUUGCUCGCCUCGGUUGCCGCCGCUUUAGCCGCAGCCGCUGCUGCCGCCGCCGGGGGAGAGGCAGCCUAUUGUCUUUCUCCGCGGCGAAGGAGAUGGAGGAGGACAUCUGGACAGUGAGCAGGAGGCGCUUCGGCCCAUGCCGAACAUCCCAGGGGACCUGGAGAGCCGGGAGGCCAUGGUGGCAUUUUUCAACUCCGCUGGAGCCAAUGCCCAGGAGGAACAAAGGGUGUGCUGCCAGCCCCUGGCUCACCCAGUGGCCUCGUCCCAGAAAAAGCCAGAGGUAGCGGCCCCAGCCCCAGAGAGUGGGGGUGAGUCUGUGUUUGGGGAGACCCACCGGGCCCUGCAGGGGGCCAUGGAGAAGCUGCAGGAAAGUACAUCAGCCAGGGGGCAGUGUCAGAGACGCAGCACUGGGAGAGGAGGACAUCGUCAGGCUGGCCCAGGACCAGGAGGAGAUGAAGGUGAACCUGCAGGAGCUGCGGGGCAGGUGUUGCAGCUUGUGG